rnacentral:rRNA from 1 species
UACGAAGGGUGCAAACGUUGCUCGGAAUUAUUGGGCGUAAAGCGCACGUAGGCGGCUCUGCAAGUCGGAUGUGAAAGCCCACGGCUCAACCGUGGAAGUGCAUCCGAAACUGCAUGGCUGGAGUCUCGGAGAGGAAGGUGGAAUGCUUGGUGUAGAGGUGAAAUUCGUAGAUAUCAAGCAGAACACCUGCGGCGAAGGCGGCCUUCUGGACGAUGACUGACGCUGAGACGCGAAAGCGUGGGGAGCAAACAGG